ACAUCAGUCACCAGCUUCAUCAAUAAGUGCAUCGGUGACGUUGUCCCCACAGUGACCUAGACAUCUCUUCAUCUCACUCACUGUGCCACUUCGUUGAGGAAGGGCCGUGUGAAGAAGUGGUUGCAGAUGUUUCCUGCGCUGUACACCAGCUCUCCUCCUGGGUCUCGCUGCUCGGCCGUCUCUGGGCGGAGCUCGCUGUACUCCACCACCUGGUACACCCCCUUCACCUUGCAUACCACGCCCACCGGCUCCGCUGG